GAUGAAGGACGUAGCGAAAUGCGAUAAGUAAUGUGAAUUGCAGAAUUCAGUGAAUCAUCGAAUCUUUGAACGCACAUUGCGCCCCUUGGUAUUCCGAGGGGCAUGCCUGUUCGAGCGUCAUUAUAACCCCUCAAGCUCAGCUUGGUGUUGGGGCCUGCUGCACUGGCAGCCCUUAAAAUCAGUGGCGGCGCCAUCUGGCUCUAAGCGUAGUAAUUCUUCUCGCUAUGGAGUCCUGGUGGAUGCUUGCCAUCAACCCCCAAUUUUUCUAUGGUUGACCUCGGAUCAGGUAGGGAUACCCGCUGAACUUAAGCAUAUCAAUAAGCGGAGGA
rnacentral:misc_RNA from 1 species